rnacentral:rRNA from 1 species
UACGUAGGGGGCAAGCGUUGUCCGGAAUUAUUGGGCGUAAAGGGCUCGUAGGCGGUUUGUCGCGUCGGGAGUGAAAACACGGGGCUUAACCCCGUGCCUGCUUCCGAUACGGGCAGACUAGAGGUAUGCAGGGGAGAACGGAAUUCCUGGUGUAGCGGUGAAAUGCGCAGAUAUCUGGAGGAACACCGGUGGCGAAGGCGGCAUCCUGGACCGAUACUGACGCUGAGGAGCGAAAGCCAGGGGAGCAAACGGG